rnacentral:rRNA from 1 species
AUGCGGCAACGGUGGGUGACUGCGAACGGCGCCCUGCUGGAGCUGGAGGAAGGAUCUGAGCGAGCCUUCGGAUCCGCUCUGCCCGUGCCGUCUCCCUGGAACCAGAAGAUGGAUCAUCCGGAUAGUAUGGUAAGGGAACUUAUCCAAAGGGAUGACAGGUCAAAAUGGAUAGCACAUAGCAAUCACAAUGUGCAAUGUUUCACAGAAGAUGAGAUAAUAAGAUUUACCAACAACUAUGAAACUAUGCUCGGAAGAGGUGCCUUUGGACAAGUUUAUCAAGGAGUCCUUGAGGACAAAAGCCUAGUUGUAGUCAAGAGGUUUAUCGACAAUGUAAAAGAUAACUUUGCCAAAGAAUUGACUGUCCACCGUGAAAUCAAUCACAAGAAUGUUGUCAGACUGCUCGGAUACUGUUUAGAUGAAAAUGCCCUAAUGAUGGUCACGGAGUACAUUCCUAAAGGAAACUUAGGUGACUUACUUCAUGGUAACAGCAUUCCUGUUCCACUGGAUACACGAGUGAGAAUUGCCUUAGAAUGUGCAGAGGCAUUGGGUUAUAUGCAUUCACAGAUGUAUACUCAGGUCAUUCAUGGUGAUAUCAAGCCUUCUAAUAUACUUUUGGAUGAUGGACUAAGAGCAAAAAUAUCAGAUUUUGGAAUAUCAAGACUAGUCAACACUGAAAAUACUCUAUACACCCUAAAUGUGAUGGGGAGUAUAGGUUACAUGGACCCUUUGUUUGCUCUGAAUGGUCGCCUCACGGCGAAGAGUGAUGUUGAUAGUUUUGGAGUUGUGCUCCUGGAACUGGUAACAAGAAGAAAGGCAAGAAAUUAUGACGGGGAGAUCGGCUUGGUUGAAAAUUUUACUAAGGUUCUUGCAAAAGGGGCCAGGAGGGUGAGAGAGAUGUUUGAUGCUGAAAUUGCAAUCCCAAGCAACAUGAAGACUAUUGAACAGAUUGCACAGUUGGCAGCUAAAUGCUUGAGGUUGGAACACGACAAACGUCCUGAGAUGCAGACUUAG